rnacentral:rRNA from 1 species
UACGUAGGUGGCAAGCGUUGUUCGGAAUUACUGGGCGUAAAGGGCUCGUAGGCGGCCAACUAAGUCCGACGUGAAAUCCCAAAGCUUAACUUUGGAACUGCGUCGGAUACUGGAUGGCUUGAAUUCGGGAGAGGGAUGCAGAAUUCCAGGUGUAGCGGUGAAAUGCGUAGAUAUCUGGAGGAAUACCGGUGGCGAAGGCGGCAUCCUGGACCGACAUUGACGCUGAUGAGCGAAAGCUAGGGGAGCAAACGGG